rnacentral:rRNA from 1 species
GACGAACGCUGGCGGCGUGCUUAACACAUGCAAGUCGAACGGAAAGGCCCUGCUUUUGUGGGGUGCUCGAGUGGCGAACGGGUGAGUAACACGUGAGUAACCUGCCCUUGACUUUGGGAUAACUUCAGGAAACUGGGGCUAAUACCGGAUAGGAGCUCCUGCUGCAUGGGGGGGGUUGGAAAGUUUCGGCGGUUGGGGAUGGCCUCGCGGCUUAUCAGCUUGUUGGUGGGGUAGUGGCUUACCAAGGCUUUGAAGGGUAGCCGGCCUGGGAGGGUGACCGGCCACAUUGGGACUGCGAUACGGCCCAGACUCCUACGGGAGGCAGCAGGGGGGAAUAUUGCACAAUGGGCGGAAGCCUGAUGCAGCAACGCCGCGUGCGGGAUGCCGGCUUUCGGGUUGUAAACCGCUUUCGCCUGUGACGAAGCGGGAGUGACGGUAAUGGGUAAAGAAGCACCGGCUAACUACGUG